ACACUCAGAUUUUGACCUUGGAUAAUUUACUUGUAGUGUUCACUAUACACACCGUGAAUCAAUAAUUAUCCUAAUCAUAGCUAGGUUUUACGAAUGUAUUGAAGAAACAGACUUAAAGAAUAUCAGCCGCCUUGCAAUCAAUAAGCAAAGUAUUCCUCCAUGUGUACAUUAUUAAAAAACUGCAGCUAAGUUUAUUGUAAUGUUGAUGUUUUAGUCAAAGGCGCGGCUCUAUGAAGGUAAGAUGAACGGAACUUUGAAGAAAUGGACGUCACUAUUCCGUGGAUACCAACACAGAUGGGUGAUCCUCACUAAUGACGGCUGUCUAAAGUACUACGAGACAGAACCGGAGGACCUAACAGAACCACCGAAGGGGCAGAUAAAAUUGUCAGUAAGUACCUUGGAAGCGGAAC